rnacentral:rRNA from 1 species
GUGGGGAAUUUUGGACAAUGGGCGCAAGCCUGAUCCAGCAAUGCCGCGUGCAGGAAGAAGGCCUUCGGGUUGUAAACUGCUUUUGUACGGAACGAAAAGGCUCUGGUUAAUACCUGGGGCUCAUGACGGUACCGUAAGAAUAAGCACCGGCUAACUACGUGCCAGCAGCCGCGGUAAUACGUAGGGUGCAAGCGUUAAUCGGAAUUACUGGGCGUAAAGCGUGCGCAGGCGGUUUUGUAAGACAGACGUGAAAUCCCCGGGCUCAACCUGGGAAUUGCGCUUGUGACUGCAGCGCUGGAGUGCGGCAGAGGGGGAUGGAAUUCCGCGUGUAGCAGUGAAAUGCGUAGAUAUGCGGAGGAACACCGAUGGCGAAGGCAAUCCCCUGGGCCUGCACUGACGCUCAUGCACGAAAGCGUGGGGAGCAAAUAGGAUUAGAAACCCUUGUAGUCC